UACGGAGGGGGCGAGCGUUGUCCGAAGUUACUGGGCGUAAAGCGCGCGUAGGCGGGUCGACAAGUCCGCUGUGAAAGCCCGGGGCUCAACCCCGGAGGGUCGGUGGAUACUGUCGGUCUUGAAGGUGCUAGGGGGAGAUGGAAUUUCCGGUGUAGCGGUGAAAUGCGUAGAUAUCGGAAGGAACACCUGUGGCGAAAGCGGCUCACUGGACCAUUACUGACGCUGAGGCACGAAAGCUAGGGG
rnacentral:rRNA from 1 species